UCUCCGACGAGUCGGGGACUGCAAGUACCAUAGGAAUAAGCAUCGGCUAACUCCGUGCCAGCAGCCGCGGUAAUACGGAGGAUGCAAGCGUUAUCCGGAAUUAUUGGGUUUAAAGGGUGCGUAGGCGGGAUUGUAAGUCAGUGGUGAAAUACCCGGGCUUAACCUGGGGGCUGCCAUUGAAACUGCGGUUCUUGAGUUUAGUUGAUGUUGGCGGAAUGUGUCAUGUAGCGGUGAAAUGCAUAGAUAUGACACAGAACACCGAUAGCGAAGGCAGCUGACAAAACUAUUACUGACGCUGAUGCACGAAAGCGUGGGGAUCAAACAGGAUUAGAUACCCUGGUAGUCCACGCCGUAAACGAUGAUCACUAGCUGUUUGCGAUAUACAGUAAGUGGCUAAGCGAAAGCGAUAAGUGAUCCACCUGGGGAGUACGUCCGCAAGGAUGAAACUCAAAGGAAUUGACGGGGGCCCGCACAAGCGGAGGAGCAUGUGGUUUAAUUCGAUGAUACGCGAGGAACCUUACCUGGGCUUGAACGUAUGGUGCAUGUGGGUGAAAGCUCACUUUCCAUCAAUGGACCCCAUACGAGGUGCUGCAUGGUUGUCGUCAGCUCGUGCCGUGAGGUGUUAGGUUAAGUCCUGCAACGAGCGCAACCCCUUUUUUUAGUUGCCAUCAGGUAAUGCUGGGCACUCUAGAGAGACUGCCUGCGCAAGCAGAGAGGAAGGUGGGGAUGACGUCAAAUCAGCACGGCCCUUACGUCCAGGGCUACACACGUGCUACAAUGGCCGGUACAGAGGGCAGCUACUUAGUGAUAAGAUGCGAAUCUCCAAAGCCGGUCCUAGUUCGGAUCGGAGUCUGCAACUCGACUUCGUGAAGCUGGAUUCGCUAGUAAUCGUAUAUCAGCCAUGAUACGGUGA
rnacentral:rRNA from 1 species